rnacentral:lncRNA from 1 species
UUUCAAACCAUGCACAGAAAAAGAAAAGUUACAUUUCACGGAACAAAGAAACACAAAUUCGUCCUGAUAUACUUUACAUAGACAAAUAGAUAUACAGCUAAAAAUGGUUAUUUCCUCCUUUUUCUCUCCUUCCUAAUGAUCAGCAGGAUGGGGGCGGGCGGGGAGACGGGAAUCCUGAGACAUUGAGCCUUUCUUGGAACUCGGCCCGGCCUGGCUAACUCAGAACACACCCCCGCUCUCCCACUUGCUCCCACCAUCCACCACGCACAGAACCCGAUGGAAAUGAAGAGGGAGCCAGGGGUAAAGCUCAGCCUUCAGAGAAAGGGGAGAGAGGCCAAGUACAAAGACCACGUCUGGAGUCCGUCUCCGAGUUUCCUUACAGGGAGCUCCGAUUAAGCUGUGGUUCUGAGAGCAGCAGUUCUCGAGACUGCGUCUUUUUGUUGGGGGCCUUCACUCCGGGGUUCAUACAUCUAACUCGGAGCCAUUCUGGGCCGAGAGAUCUGUGCAGCCCUUAAGCGGAAAGGGAAAGGACUCAGGGCACCCAACGCCCAGCAGCGUCACAAAUUCCACAGUCACUGCAACCCAAUUCACACAGAGGCCCGCGCCGCCCCCGCGCCGCCCCCGCGCCCAUUUCCUCAAUGCACGCGACCAACUCACCUCUCGGAGCCGACACCAGCAAGAAAGCCGGAAGGAAACUACGAGCAGAGGCCUGUGGGACCUGUAGUCUUCGUUUCAGUUGCCAGCCGUCAAUUGCCUUCCCGAAACAGACAAUCCUUUGGGGAAAAGGUCAGUCAGUAGUAGUAGCCAAAUACUGUGUUAGAAUGUGUACAUCGGGGGGCGCCUGGGUGGCUCAGUCGGUUGAGUGUCCGGCUUUGGCUCAGGUCAUGAUCUCACGGUUCGUGGGUUCGAGCCCCGCGUCGGGUUCUGUGCUGACAGCUAGCUCGGAGCCUGGAGCCUGCUUCGGAUUCUGUGUCUCCCUCUCUCUCUGACCCUCCCUGCUCGCUGUCUUUCUCUGUCUCUCAAAAAUAAAUAAUAAAUUAAUUAAUUAAUUAAUUUUAAAAAAAAA